UGUUCGGAAUUACUGGGCGUAAAGGGCGCGCAGGCGGCUCUUGAAGUCAGGCGUGAAAGCCCCGGGCUCAACCUGGGAGGUGCGCUUGAUACUCGAGGGCUUGAGUGCGGGAGAGGAGAGUGGAAUUCCCAGUGUAGAGGUGAAAUUCGUAGAUAUUGGGAAGAACACCGGUGGCGAAGGCGGCUCUCUGGACCGUAACUGACGCUGAGGUGCGAAAGCGUGGGGAGCAAACAGG
rnacentral:rRNA from 1 species